GGCGGCGUGCUUAACACAUGCAAGUCGAGCGGUAAGGCCCUUCGGGGUACACGAGCGGCGAACGGGUGAGUAACACGUGGGUGACCUGCCCUCAGCUCUGGGAUAAGCCUGGGAAACCGGGUCUAAUACCGGAUAGGACCUCCUGCUUCAUGGUAUGUGGUGGAAAGUUUUUUCGGCUGGGGAUGGGCCCGCGGCCUAUCAGCUUGUUGGUGGGGUGAUGGCCUACCAAGGCGACGACGGGUAGCCGGCCUGAGAGGGCGACCGGCCACACUGGGACUGAGACACCGCCCAGACUCCUACGGGAGGCAGCAGUGGGGAAUAUUGCGCAAUGGGCGGAAGCCUGACGCAGCGACGCCGCGUGGGGGAUGACGGCCUUCGGGUUGUAAACCUCUUUCGCCAGGGACGAAGAGCGUAAGUGACGGUACCUGGAGAAGAAGCACCGGCCAACUACGUGCCAGCAGCCGCGGUAAUACGUAGGGUGCGAGCGUUGUCCGGAAUUAUUGGGCGUAAAGAGCUCGUAGGCGGUCUGUCGCGUCGGUCGUGAAAACUUGGGGCUNAACCCUGAGCUUGCGGUCGAUACGGGCAUGACUUGAGUUCGGCAGGGGAGACUGGAAUUCCUNGUGUAGCGGUGAAAUGCGCAGAUAUCAGGAGGAACACCGGUNGCGAAGGCGGGNCUCUNGGCCGAUACUGACGCUGAGGAGCGAAAGCGUGGGGAGCGAACAGGAUUAGAUACCCUGGUAGUCCACGCCGUAAACGGUGGGCGCUAGGUGUGGGGGCAUUCCACGGUCUCUGUGCCGCAGCUAACGCAUUAAGCGCCCNGCCUGGGGAGUACGGCCGC
rnacentral:rRNA from 1 species